rnacentral:ncRNA from 2 species
AUAAUCCUUCGGGGCAGGGUGUAAUUCCCUACCGGCGGUGAUGAGCUUUGUGCUUUUAGUCCGUGAGCGAAACGUUUUAACGUCUUGCUGAUUUGGUGAAAAUCCAAAACCGACAGUGAAAGUCUGGAUGGGAGAAGGAAAAU